CGAGGAGAAUAGUAAGGACUCCAUGUGCCUUCUACAUCACCAUACCUCGCUGCAAUCAUCUGCCCCGAACCCACACGAGGAAUCCUUAGCUGGUGAAGAUUAUUAUACUGAGCAACAGGUAUCUCGUUCCCCCUCUGACUUCCACCACCUCCACUCUCAAUAGCCAGCUGAUUAAAAGGUUCCACCAUCGAAAAAUCGUCAUUAUUCAGAUUGAACCUCGGCGAGUCAGGAUACUGCUGCACCUUCCUAAAAUCCGUCCCCUCAACCAAAUUAUUAAGAGCAUCAACGUAUCUCCUCUCAGACUCCCUCUGAUCAUGAAACCCUUCAUUGGAAAUUUCGGGUCCAGGUCGAUGGCCAAAAGGAUAAUUCAUCCCAGGACCAUCAAGAGUGUAAUGAUCACUUGGUCUUCCAACAUUAGAUAAAAGUGGCCUCCCCUCAUCAAUACGUGGAGGAUUAGGAUUAGGAUUAGGAUUCACCUGUUGUUGACCUAUCCAUCCUCUUUCAUGCCCGAAAGUCUCAUUUGCAUAAGCCCCAUGAGGAGUAGGAGGCUUUGGGUCUGCGUUAAGCAUAAAAGUUUCCCUGUUGGGCGGACACUGUGCACAAUGAGCAGAAGGAACCGGUUGAAAUCCAUUAGCUUGAUCAAACGGCUGAUGGUUCUUAUGAAACGGUACACGACAGCUCUCGCAUAUAUUACCACCCCCUUCAUAGCCACUUGGACCACCGUGAAGCACAUUCCCAGGAAAACCUCCUUUACUCUCAAGCGGCGUAGCUCCAGCCGGGACCCACACCACGUUAUCAGGAACCUGUCCCUGGUGCUCAUAUAAAGGAUGAUGCCCCGGCCUCGCGUAAUCCUCAGGCAUUCUAUCAAACCCCUUAUCAAGAACUUCCCCAUACGGCAUCCGGUAACGAGCAGACGAAGGCGAAGACGGAAACUCCUGAAAAUGACCAUGAUGCCGAGGAGAAUAGUAAGGACUCCAUGUGCCUUCUACAUCACCAUACCUCGCUGCAAUCAUCUGCCCCGAACCCACACGAGGAAUCCUUAGCUGGUGAAGAUUAUUAUACUGAGCAACAGGUAUCUCGUUCCCCCUCUGACUUCCACCACCUCCACUCUCAAUAGCCAGCUGAUUAAAAGGUUCCACCAUCGAAAAAUCGUCAUUAUUCAGAUUGAACCUCGGCGAGUCAGGAUACUGCUGCACCUUCCUAAAAUCCGUCCCCUCAACCAAAUUAUUAAGAGCAUCAACGUAUCUCCUCUCAGACUCCCUCUGAUCAUCAUACCCCGAG
rnacentral:lncRNA from 1 species